AACGAACGCUGGCGGCAUGCCUAACACAUGCAAGUCGAACGAGAUCUUCGGGUCUAGUGGCGCACGGGUGCGUAACGCGUGGGAAUCUGCCCUUUGGUUCGGAAUAACAGUUGGAAACGACUGCUAAUACCGGAUGAUGACGAAAGUCCAAAGAUUUAUCACCAGAGGAUGAGCCCGCGUAGGAUUAGCUAGUUGGUGUGGUAAAGGCGCACCAAGGCGACGAUCCUUAGCUGGUCUGAGAGGAUGAUCAGCCACACUGGGACUGAGACACGGCCCAGACUCCUACGGGAGGCAGCAGUGGGGAAUAUUGGACGAUGGGCGAAAGCCUGAUCCAGCAAUGCCGCGUGAGUGAUGAAGGCCUUAGGGUUGUAAAGCUCUUUUACCCGGGAUGAUAAUGACAGUACCGGGAGAAUAAGCUCCGGCUAACUCCGUGCCAGCCGCCGCGGUAAGAC
rnacentral:rRNA from 1 species